AAGACUUGCAUGCAGCCAACAGCUAGUGCAAAGUAAGGUUUCCACAGUAAAAACAGUGACCUUCAGACUGCCUAUCUUUGAAAAUCGCCUUGGAUGGAGAACUACGUACAUUUGAGCUUCUGUGCUGAUGUGUGCAAAGGAUGGCACGUUGAAAAGCCCUUGAAUGAGCUCCGGGGGUGUGCUGACCCCCAGCCACAGGAACAUGCUCAGACCGUUGGCCAGAAUGAAGGUGCCUCCUUCUGAGAGACAUUCCUCAGAGCAGCGGACGGCAGCUGGAACAGCAUCACUCUUCAGAUCCAGGCUGUGCUGUGGGACAAAAGUCAGAGUUGCAAACCUGGUGAUUUUAAGCACCACAAUCAAAAAAGAAUCUCAUCAUCUUGUCUACAGCUACAAACCGAAGUCUGCAGGGCAAACACCAACUGCAGUUGACUGCAGUCAGACGUGCACUGGAUCUGCCACAUGUCUCUGUCACAGGGAAGCCAGCUUCCCUGGUGCUUCCGCAGUUGGCAAUGAAGAAUGGAAGAUAAACAAUUUUCCAGCACAUUCUGCAGCCUGUUGCAAAGACACCAUAUUGACAUUUAUUCUAUUACUCAGAUAAACAAGCCUAAUUUUCAUUCAUAUGCUGUGGUGUCUCUAAGAACAGUGCAAACUUUCUGCAAAAGUUCUUCAGAGCCAAACCAUUUAUUUAGUCUUUACACUUGAUGGAAGUGAAGUCCCAAAACAAACUGGGAAUUUUGUGUCAGUAAAUAACUUAGUCUAACAUAGAUCCUUUGGAUAUUGUACCGGUACAGUAAUUCCUACAUGGGACGCUAAAAUCUUGGUAGGCAAAACUAGAAGUACCUCUCCUAGAGACAUUUCAGUUAGAUACAAGCAUUAUGCAACAAGAAUAAAAGGUAGAAACACUAAACAGGAUAAAAUUAAAAGGAAAGGUAAUUUAACAGAAAAUACUGCUCCUUCAGUUUGGGUGCACUGUUAUCCAUUGUAUUUUUAGAGAAGAACGACAAUUACAUUACUGGACUAGAUUCCACAUUCAAACUACACUAAAAUGCAAAGCAUCAAAACUUGUGAUUAACUCCUGUCACUAAGAAAUAAAGUAAAUGCUGGUU